GGAGAGGCAGAGGGGCAGGAAACGGCUUGUUUUUUAAGGAGUCGCCGCCGGCCGCCGCUGGCUCGUUUCCGCCAUGCACUCGGGCUCCCGCCAGCCUGGCCGCCGCUGCGCCGCUCAGCGCGGUAACCUGUGCCAGCGCUGGGUCCGCGGUGGGCCUCACCUCCAAAGGGAGCCAGCUCUCCGGGGGCCCCGCUGGCAGACGGAGCGGCCCCCGCCCCUGCCGGACAGGCGGAAAGGGACACGCCCCGGAGCUGGGGAGGAGCCGGGGGAGCUUCAGAGGGAGGUCAGCGCCCACCCGCGGGGGAGGCCGCCGUCUGAGGGGCCCAAUGUACACGCGCCGCAAGGAUCCUACGGUGCUGCCGGGCAGGGGCAGGGGCAGUGGAACCCAGCCAGGUGGGUCCGGACCCCAGAACCGGGCCCGCAGUUCAGAGCCGCGGAGGAACGCUGCAGAGGAUGCGCCUGCCCUGGACACUACUGCUGGGCUGGGCCACACCCCUUGAGAAUGAAGUGCGCGCCACUCCCGCCGAACGGGUUCGGAGGUCAGCAGAACCACAGGUCCGACCCCGGGGGGGCGUCAGACUGGCAGCUCUGGGACCACGCUCCAGAGAGGUACUGCAGCGACCCGCAGGUCCCUGAGCAGGUCCACUCCAGAACGCAGGAUUACAACAGACAAGUUGCUCUGAAUUCUGCUCCUUUUCCCAGCCAGGAAUUUAGCAGUGACGGUGGCACAGUGAAUGAUUCGGUCGGGCCAAAGAGGAAACCAGAACAGCUUUGUAAUGGACUCAGCUCGGUCCAUGGCGGCUUCUUCCCCACAGAGAUCCCUCAGGCACGGCCUGCCCGCACCAGAGAGCAAGGUCCACUACGACCCAGUAGUACACCUCCUUACCUCCAAACCGACACCCCCAGCAAGGGAACGGGGCAGACGACCGAACUGGCUUUGAAUGGGCCAAAGAGGAACCAGGCGACGGUCCGAGACCAGAUCCGACGGGUGGUGGAAGAUUUGGAGGGCGUUCUUUGUGGUCUGAAGCAGGUUCACCUGGAGAUGAAGGAGGUGGUCCAACAGAUCGACCUGCUGACGUCUCACAUUGACCUGAAUACAAUGGAAGCGGGCAGCUCCAGUAGGAUGAUAUCGUACAGUCACCCCAGGGUAGGGGGUCAGGGUUCAGCCCAAGCACAGUCCAUUUCGCCUGCCCACAGCCCAUCUGUCCUCAUGACUGACCGGGGUGUGCCUCUGACCUCCUGCAGCAGUCCCCCCGGACCCGGGCCAGGCUUUCUGUCCAAUGGGAUUCGUCCUACCACCCACCCACCCAGGGACCAGGGGGGAGGGGCGUAUUAUGGGCCUAGAGAGACAGAGCUGCCCCUCUCCAUUCCCGCCACUCAGACUCAGACCCAGGGAGGGUGGCAUGGCAGUGGCAUGGCUGCCCCCAGGGAUCGGAGACCGCCCCCUUAUCCGCAUGACAGACAGGUGGUGAAGCUCGGAACGAGGGCGAAGGGCCCGCCCAGCUCUCUGAAGACUCCGCCCCACCCGGGGAAGCGCAGACAGGCCUCCUCCGCGGUGUGAGGGGGCACUGGCCAGAGCCAUGCCCCCAGGGCUACGGACAUGCGGCCCACAGAAGCCUCAGAGAGCAGGCCCCAGACUCCCAGGACACAGGCCAUCAGAGCACCCUGCUGCUGGAACGUGGAAUGGUGCCAUGAAGAGGAGAUGGCGUGGGGCCGAGGGGAUUUCUGCAAAGGAGAGACACUCCGCAGGGGCGAACAGAGACACAGAUGUGUGACCCCUCUCACAGAGUUGCCCGAAUUUUGAGCCAGUAUCCCGGUGUGGCUGCGCAGAACUGAGAAAUGUCCCUGCUACACCCCGAGCACAACAUGUGACCCUCUAACUCCCGAAAAUUGUGAAAGAAUUCAGAUGCUUUCGAGAAACGAGGCCCAGGACUCCAGACGACAGGUUUCAGGAUACGUGGAUAACCGCACUACCAAAUCAAAGCUAUCAAGCCAUGUGACCCCUUCUGACACAUGAACGUAUGUGACCUGUUACUGCAUGUCUUUCAUACAUAUGUGUAACCAUUUUUAUACCUAGAAUGUACCAAUAGAAGAGGUUGAAUCCAACUAGAUAUUUUUGAAAUGUCUGUUAUACCAAACUUGCUGUUAUAUGUUAAAUAUCAUUGCAAAAUCAGGGAUCAUUCACAUGAGGAGUCGAUGACACAUUUGACGCUACCUUGCUCUGAAAUGUUUCUUUCACGUAACUGUCGUUGCUUAUGUUGACCACUAGAGGACGCUUCAUUACCACAGGCGUAGUAUUUUUGAUUUAAACAGCUUAUUUCUACUCUUUGAAUUGUGGGUAGAUUUUUAUUGCACCGAUUGUAAAUGAUUAAUUCAUUCAAGAAUUCAUCCAUAUGUUUUACUAAACUGCUAUUCGGAUAUGCGACAACAACAGAAUAUGAUACUUUAAUUGCUGGAGGAGUAUCCAGGUAAGCCAUUAAAAUGCUGACAAAGCUAGCUAAUGACUUGCGUCUUACAAGUAAGAGUACUGUUCAUAAUAUUUAUCUUACAAGCUUCUCUUUAUCAAUGCAAAUGAGAUUAUUGCAGCCUCAGGUGUUGUGUAGUGAUAGAAACAGGGUUAAACUCUGAUUAUCAAUAACUGGUAAAAACAAAGGAAAGAAAAAAAAGGAUUACUCUGUAUUGUCCUUGUAACGUUUCCUGACUUGUAAUCCAGUGGACUUGGAUAAAGGAAAACAGUUUUCUGAGAAUAAACUCCCCA